GGCUGAUCUGAGCACAGAGGUGUUUACAGCUCAUUAAUCACAGCCAAUUACAGAUUUCUUUGUUUCUUCUCCACUUCCACUGCUCCACUUGACUUGCCUAAA
ensembl:misc_RNA Y_RNA Y RNA